rnacentral:rRNA from 1 species
AUGGGGUACUCCAAAACUCUAGCGGCUGGCCUGUUCGCCAUGCUUUUCCUAGCUCCAGCUGUCCUGGCUACCGACCCCGACCCUCUCCAGGACUUUUGCGUAGCCGACCUUGAUGGCAAGGCGGUCUCAGUGAACGGGCACCCAUGCAAGCCCAUGUCUGAGGCUGGCGAUGACUUCCUCUUCUCAUCCAAGCUGGCCAAGGCUGGCAACACGUCGACCCCAAACGGCUCGGCCGUGACGGAGCUUGACGUGGCCGAGUAG